rnacentral:snRNA from 1 species
GGGUGUGAGGGUGAUCUGGCUGCGACAUCUGUCACCCCCAUCGGUCGCUCAAGGUGAUUGGGCUGAUCUGGCUGGCUAGGCGGGUGCAGCCUCCCCAGGCUGCAGCCGCACCCUCUGUCAGAGAGGACAUCCUGCCCCGAUCUUCCGUCAAGGGUACACGGGUGGCUGUGCUCCCCCACUAGAACCCCCAAACAAGCAUCGUUUUCAGCAUCCAUGGAACAAUUUUAAAAAUUAAUUACAUAUUAAGCCAUCAACAAUCCU